rnacentral:tRNA from 1 species
GCCGACGUAGCUUAGUGGGAAAGCGUACCCUUGGUAAGGGUAAGAGCACGAGUUCGAUCCUCGUCGUCGGCU